CCUACGGGCGGCAGCAGUGAGGAAUAUUGGUCAAUGGACGAGAGUCUGAACCAGCCAAGUAGCGUGAAGGAUGACUGCCCGAUGGGUUGUAAACUUCUUUUAUAAAGGAAUAAAACGAGGCACGUGUGCCUUUUUGCAUGUACUUUAUGAAUAAGGAUCGGCUAACUCCGUGCCAGCAGCCGCGGUAAUACGGAGGAUCCGAGCGUUAUCCGGAUUUAUUGGGUUUAAAGGGAGCGUAGAUGGGUUGUUAAGUCAGUUGUGAAAGUUUGCGGCUCAACCGUAAAAUUGCAUUUGAUACUGGCAGUCUAGAGUACAGUUGAGGUAGGCGGAAUUCGUGGUGUAGCGGUGAAAUGCUUAGAUAUCACGAAGAACCCCGAUUGCGAAGGCAGCUUACUAAACUGUGACUGACAUUGAUGCUCGAAAGUGUGGGUAUCAAACAGGAUUAGAUACCCCAGUAGUC
rnacentral:rRNA from 1 species